ensembl:lncRNA
GAAGAUACUUCAAAUUUAGAAAUCUUGGGUGUCAGAGACCCAAGAGAUGAAGAGAGCAUGAUGGAGACGAGAGACGGAGAUGGAGAGAGAAGACAGGGACACACUGAGAGCAGAGGAGACCCUCAGGUGAUUUCAGUGGAGAAACAAAACUCUCUGAUCACACUGGCUUGGAGCAACCACAUUCAGGUACAUACACGCAAACAUAUGCACUCUUUCUAUCUUAAAUCAGCUCAAAUUGUUCAUUCAUACAUAGAAAUUUAAUUCUGCAGGAAGUGACCUCAGCUCAACGGGAAGUAGAGGCCAUCUCUAUUGUAGUGCAGGAGGAUACAGCUGAUAAAACAGCUCCACAUGAUGUGAACAUUUACACACAGCAGGAGAACAUGAGCUCUAUCUCACUGCAGCCAAGUGAACAAUAUGAAGAAAUGCAUUCAGAUCACACAGAUAGUGUGAAAGGAAAGACACAAAUCCAAGAAGACCAUACAUGCUUCAUCACAGAGGACAUAAGAUAUGGAGAGUUCACAUUCAGUGAGACCCAGCGGCCCGAGCAAACACUACCCACUGAUCCACAGCUGCUACAAAACACUGACAUGACAGACACUAACACAGCACCAGCUAGUGUUCAUUUCCCAGACACACAAACAUUCGCGAGCCAUGAGAUGGAGGCAUCGCUUCAGGAGCAGAGGAACGAGGAGGUCUGUGAGGAGCAGCAGCUGCAGCGAGAGGCCACGAUGCGCUCCCUAGUGCACAUCCAGAGGAGAGCAGAGCGACGCUGGCAACGAGACCGAGACAGACAGCUACUCAGAGUUCAAGAGCGACUGGCUAUUGUCCAGAGUCAGAAGACAGAUGAAGAUCUCAGACUCAGACAUCUGAUCGACACUACGUCAGGUACACACAUUCACAUGCACAUGAUCUGACACCUUAAUGUGGACAUGAUGUAAAUGUUGACUAAAUGUUCUAGGAGGAUGAGCAACAACAGAAAACUUUAGUAAGAGAGAAACUCCAGCAGAUGAGGAGAGAACGCUCCUGCAUUCUCCAGACCAGACGGGAGAGGUAACAUAUACACACUAAUGCUGGACUAGUUCAGUUUGACAGUGAUCAAUAUGUGAGUACUUCACCAUAAAAUUAAAAUGGUCAUCAUUUACUUAUCCUAAUGCCACAGCCAAAUUCGUAUUUUUUAUUUAUUUAUUUUUUUGCUCAUUUUGGUGCUUGAAACCUAUGGUAACCCAUUUUUUGCCACAUAAAAAAAGCAUGCUUUAAGUCAAAAUUAUGAUAAAAGUUGAAGUUGACAAAUCAUAAUUUAGAUUUUUGAAUGUCAACUUAUCUUAUAAUUAUGUUGAAGUCAAAAGCGACAGUCAAAAUUAUGAGAUAAAAACUGGACAUUGACACUAAUAUUUAUAAGAAAAACUGUCAAAAUAAUGACCUGUCAUAACUGAAAUAAAAAGUCAGUCAUAGUCA